rnacentral:rRNA from 1 species
CCUACGGGCGGCAGCAGUGGGGAAUAUUGGACAAUGGGGGCAACCCUGAUCCAGCCAUGCCGCGUGUGUGAAGAAGGCCCUCGGGUUGUAAAGCACUUUCAGUGAGGAAGAACGCCUGGUGGUUAAUACCCAUCAGGAAAGACAUCACUCACAGAAGAAGCACCGGCUAACUCCGUGCCAGCAGCCGCGGUAAUACGGAGGGUGCGAGCGUUAAUCGGAAUUACUGGGCGUAAAGCGCGCGUAGGUGGCUUGAUAAGCCGGUUGUGAAAGCCCCGGGCUCAACCUGGGAACGGCAUCCGGAACUGUCAAGCUAGAGUGCAGGAGAGGAAGGUAGAAUUCCCGGUGUAGCGGUGAAAUGCGUAGAGAUCGGGAGGAAUACCAGUGGCGAAGGCGGCCUUCUGGACUGACACUGACACUGAGGUGCGAAAGCGUGGGUAGCAAGCAGGAUUAGAUACCCUAGUAGUC